AGUGAACGCUGGCGGUAGGCCUAACACAUGCAAGUCGAACGGCAGCACAGUAAGAGCUUGCUCUUACGGGUGGCGAGUGGCGGACGGGUGAGGAAUACAUCGGAAUCUACUUUUUCGUGGGGGAUAACGUAGGGAAACUUACGCUAAUACCGCAUACGCCCUACGGGUGAAAGCAGGGGAUCUUCGGACCUUGCGCGAUUGAUUGAGCCGAUGUCGGAUUAGCUAGUUGGCGGGGUAAAGGCCCACCAAGGCGACGAUCCGUAGCUGGUCUGAGAGGAUGAUCAGCCACACUGGAACUGAGACACGGUCCAGACUCCUACGGGAGGCAGCAGUGGGGAAUAUUGGACAAUGGGCGCAAGCCUGAUCCAGCCAUACCGCGUGGGUGAAGAAGGCCUUCGGGUUGUAAAGCCCUUUUGUUGGGAAAGAAAAGCAGCAGGUUAAUACCCCGCUGUUCUGACGGUACCCAAAGAAUAAGCACCGGCUAACUUCGUG
rnacentral:rRNA from 1 species